rnacentral:rRNA from 1 species
GGGUUGUGAGGUUAAGCGACUAAGCGUACACGGUGGAUGCCCUGGCAGUCAGAGGCGAUGAAGGACGUGCUAAUCUGCGAUAAGCGUCGGUGAGGUGAUAUGAACCGUUAUAACCGGCGAUUUCCGAAUGGGGAAACCCAGUGUGUUUCGACACUAUCAUUAACUGAAUCCAUAGGUUAAUGAGGCGAACCGGGAACUGAAACAUCUAAGUACCCCGAGGAAAAUCAACCGAGAUUCCCCAGUAGCGGCGAGCGAACGGGGAGGAGCCCAGAGCCUGAAUCAGUGUGUGUGUUAGUGGAAGCGUCUGGAAAGGCGCGCGAUACAGGGUGACAGCCCCGUACACAAAAAUGCACAUAUUGUGAGCUCGAUGAGUAGGGCGGGACACGUGGUAUCCUGUCUGAAUAUGGGGGGACCAUCCUCCAAGGCUAAAUACUCCUGACUGACCGAUAGUGAACCAGUACCGUGAGGGAAAGGCGAAAAGAACCCCGGCGAGGGGAGUGAAAAAGAACCUGAAACCGUGUACGUACAAGCAGUGGGAGCCUCUUAAUGGGGUGACUGCGUACCUUUUGUAUAAUGGGUCAGCGACUUAUAUUCUGUAGCAAGGUUAACCGAAUAGGGGAGCCGAAGGGAAACCGAGUCUUAACUGGGCGUUAAGUUGCAGGGUAUAGACCCGAAACCCGGUGAUCUAGCCAUGGGCAGGUUGAAGGUUGGGUAACACUAACUGGAGGACCGAACCGACUAAUGUUGAAAAAUUAGCGGAUGACUUGUGGCUGGGGGUGAAAGGCCAAUCAAACCGGGAGAUAGCUGGUUCUCCCCGAAAGCUAUUUAGGUAGCGCCUCGUGAAUUCAUCUCCGGGGGUAGAGCACUGUUUCGGCAAGGGGGUCAUCCCGACUUACCAACCCGAUGCAAACUGCGAAUACCGGAGAAUGUUAUCACGGAGACACGGCGGUGCUAACGUCCGUCGUGAAGACAACAGACCGCCAGCUAAGGUCCCAAAGUCAUGGUUAAGUGGGAAACGAUGUGGGAAGGCCCAGACAGCCAGGAUGUUGGCUUAGAAGCAGCCAUCAUUUAAAGAAAGCGUAAUAGCUCACUGGUCGAGUCGGCCUGCGCGGAAGAUGUAACGGGGCUAAACCAUGCACCGAAGCUGCGGCAGCGACACUAUGUGUUGUUGGGUAGGGGUUCUGUAAGCCUGUGAAGGUGGCCUGUGAGGGUUGCUGGAGGUAUCAGAAGUGCGAAUGCUGACAUAAGUAACGAUAAAGCGGGUGAAAAGCCCGCUCGCCGGAAGACCAAGGGUUCCUGUCCAACGUUAAUCGGGGCAGGUGAGUCGACCCUAAGGCGAGGCCGAAAGGCGUAGUCGAUGGGAAACAGGUUAAUAUUCCUGUACUUGGUGUUACUGCGAAGGGGACGGAGAAGGCUAUGUUGGCCGGGCGACGGUUGUCCCGGUUUAAGCGUGUAGGCUGGUUUUCGUGCAAAUCCGGAAAAUCAAGGCUGAGGCGUGAUGACGAGGCACUACGGUGCUGAAGCGACAAAUGCCCUGCUUCCAGGAAAAGCCUCUAAGCAUCAGGUAACAUCAAAUCGUACCCCAAACCGACACAGGUGGUCAGGUAGAGAAUACCAAGGCGCUUGAGAGAACUCGGGUGAAGGAACUAGGCAAAAUGGUGCCGUAACUUCGGGAGAAGGCACGCUGAUAUGUAGGUGAAGCGACUUGCUCGUGGAGCUGAAAUCAGUCGAAGAUACCAGCUGGCUGCAACUGUUUAUUAAAAACACAGCACUGUGCAAACACGAAAGUGGACGUAUACGGUGUGACGCCUGCCCGGUGCCGGAAGGUUAAUUGAUGGGGUUAGCGGUAACGCGAAGCUCUUGAUCGAAGCCCCGGUAAACGGCGGCCGUAACUAUAACGGUCCUAAGGUAGCGAAAUUCCUUGUCGGGUAAGUUCCGACCUGCACGAAUGGCGUAAUGAUGGCCAGGCUGUCUCCACCCGAGACUCAGUGAAAUUGAACUCGCUGUGAAGAUGCAGUGUACCCGCGGCAAGACGGAAAGACCCCGUGAACCUUUACUAUAGCUUGACACUGAACAUUGAGCCUUGAUGUAGGAUAGGUGGGAGGCUUUGAAGUGUGGACGCCAGUCUGCAUGGAGCCGACCUUGAAAUACCACCCUUUAAUGUUUGAUGUUCUAACGUGGGCCCCUUACCGGGGUUGCGGACAGUGUCUGGUGGGUAGUUUGACUGGGGCGGUCUCCUCCUAAAGAGUAACGGAGGAGCACGAAGGUUGGCUAAUCCUGGUCGGACAUCAGGAGGUUAGUGCAAUGGCAUAAGCCAGCUUGACUGCGAGCGUGACGGCGCGAGCAGGUGCGAAAGCAGGUCAUAGUGAUCCGGUGGUUCUGAAUGGAAGGGCCAUCGCUCAACGGAUAAAAGGUACUCCGGGGAUAACAGGCUGAUACCGCCCAAGAGUUCAUAUCGACGGCGGUGUUUGGCACCUCGAUGUCGGCUCAUCACAUCCUCGGGCUGAAGUAGGUCCCAAGGGUAUGGCUGUUCGCCAUUUAAAGUGGUACGCGAGCUGGGUUUAGAACGUCGUGAGACAGUUCGGUCCCUAUCUGCCGUGGGCGCUGGAGAACUGAGGGGGGCUGCUCCUAGUACGAGAGGACCGGAGUGGACGCAUCACUGGUGUUCGGGUUGUCAUGCCAAUGGCACUGCCCGGUAGCUAAAUGCGGAAGAGAUAAGUGCUGAAAGCAUCUAAGCACGAAACUUGCCCCGAGAUGAGUUCUCCCUGACUCCUUGAGAGUCCUGAAGGAACGUUGAAGACGACGACGUUGAUAGGCCGGGUGUGUAAGCGCAGCGAUGCGUUGAGCUAACCGGUACUAAUGAACCGUGAGGCUUAACCUUACAACGCCGAAG